rnacentral:rRNA from 1 species
CCACAAGUGGCAAUCGCGUUUAUUGGGCCUAAAGCGUUCGUAGCCGGAUAGGUCAGUCUUGAGUGAAAUCGUUGCGCUUAACAAAACGACGUGCUCGAGAUACUGCUUGUCUAGGGACCGGGAGGAGUUAGGGGUAUUUCUGAGGGAGCGGUAAAAUGCUAUAAUCUCAGGAGGACCACCUGUGGCGAAGGCGCCUAACUAGAACGGGUCCGACGGUGAGGAACGAAAGCCAGGGGAGCAAAACG